GACGAACCGUGCGAACGUUGUUCGGAAUCACUGGGCUUAAAGGGCGCGUAGGCGGCCAACUAAGUCACACGUGAAAUCCCUCGGCUUAACCGGGGAACUGCGUGUGAUACUGGAUGGCUUGAGUUCGGGAGAGGGAUGCGGAAUUCCAGGUGUAGCGGUGAAAUGCGUAGAUAUCUGGAGGAACACCGGUGGCGAAGGCGGCAUCCUGGACCGACACUGACGCUGAGGAGCGAAAGCCAGGGGAGCAAACGGG
rnacentral:rRNA from 1 species